AUGGGGGCCGUUCGUGUGUGCUGGCACGAAGGGUCCAGUCGUGUAUAUAUAUAUGUAUAUCAUGUGAUUUUUUGCAGGUACACUAACAAACGAUUGCGUGAGUUAGAACGAGUACAAAACGACUAGAUAUAUAAUAGGGAGAGUACGUAUGUAUGCCACCGAUUAUUCACGUAUAUUGCCAUAUAAUUAUGUUGGAAAAUUUGGAGAGGACGAAAUUAGACGAGCAUGCAUCAUCAUAUCAUCAUGUGUGGAGUUUUGGGUGAUUUUUCUGGUGCAUCCAAUGCUCACUCGUUCAUUAAGAGCAUAUAUCAUUGUUUUGAAAUUUUGCGCUGCACUACUAUCGGUCCAACUUCUAGCUAUCCAAAUUUUUAUUUUCCUGAAAAACUUGAUUAUGAGAAAGAUGUGAGAAAUUAUAGAUUAUAUACUAUAGAACUUUUAACGACCUUAGGGGAAUGUUUAUAUGGAUCUCCAUACUAAACUUGGCUCCUUGAUUCAGUGCCUUCUAUGCUUAUAGUUACGACUCAGUAGUAAUGGUCAGGUCUUUCUUAACAUUCUCAUUAUCUUUGAAAGCCCAAAUAAGGGUAUUAUCCUAAGAAGAAUCUCCUAGCCAAUUUUUCUUAACAUACCAUCGCAUGAGCUAAAAUUAUCCUAUCUGUGGCUUAAUGCCCAUUCCCAUUUAUUCAGCUAUUUCUAUUUUUCCCCAAUUGGUCAAUAUCAAUUUGAGAUCGUACAUCCUCAUUUCUGGGCCGUUCGUUCAAAUGCUCAAAGAUAAUUCAUCCUGGCUAUUCUUGAUGACUACACAUUUCCUGUUGUUCUUAUAGUGUUGAUAUUCGUUUAUAUCGAUCGCCUUGAUUCCUAUACCUAAAAUGGAUCCACUUACAUUCUUACUCGAAUAAUAAUAUAAAUAAAUUAAUGACUUGAUUACAGAUAUUAUAGUCAUCCUGCAGGAAUGAGGUCGCACGUUUGUUGCAUUACAUCGUCUUGCAUUGUUGGGUCGUGCUAGGUUACUGCAUGAUCAUGGGAGACAUUGGUGGUAGUUCGGCUGACUAUGUGUGUUCGUGCUUUUGAGUGCGUUCUCUGGUGUCUUCCGACUUCUAUAAUCUCUUUCUAUCCAUUCGUGUUAUUCGGAGUGCUAUUAUUGAUUCUUAGGCGGUGGAGAUUUCUCCCAUGACCUCUAGUGCCGCGACGGAACCUAGGGCCUCGCGUGUGUGGCCACCAUGCGAUUGUGCUACUAGGUGCGCGCUGGUGCUUGAGUGCAUGUGGACGAAACUACAUCGCCAAUUCUUUUUGUGAAAUCUUUGGAAUCAUUUUUCUCUGGUUUGAUCUUUUAAAGAGGUAGGCCCUACACGAAUAACAGUGCGGACGGGUUGUUUAGGUUUGAGUUUCUGGGUAUUGUCCACUAACGGGCAUGGCAUCAUGUGCAUCCUCAACUCAUAUAUGCGUGCAUCAUACUCAUGCAUCUUAUGGCGAGCAUCACUCAAGAGCAUCAUUAUUAUGUAUCAUGAUGUAUGCAUCAUUGAGUCGACAUCAUGGCAAAUGCAUCAUGUCAUAUGCACCAUUUUGUUUUGUGCAAGGAACAUUCCAUCAUGGCACUACACUGGCAUUGCAUUGGUAUAAAUGAACAUAUUUUACAACUAGCAUCAUGCAAAUCAUUCAGCUAAUAAACUCUGAGCGGGGAUGUUCCAAACACCACUCGUAAAUCAAUCUCUCGUACUAUCCUCUCUUACUAUCCAUAAGUCUUGUGAUGAAUCUCGCCGACAUUUGUUUUCCUCAUGUUGUGAUCUUAGCUCUAUGAGAACUUGAUCACCUUGUCUUAUCAUCAUUCUUUGUUUUGUUUGAUCUUUUCUUCUUGAUCGGAAAACCUUACAUCACUUAGUUAUCCAAUCUAGUUGAAGAGCCGUGCAAGAAUCAAGUUCAGGUGUUUGCUUAAAAGCAUCAUUGUCAUUCUGAUGCAUCCCUAUCUACUUGCAAGUGGAAGCUCCUUCCUCCCUAAUAGAAAAUCCUGGUUUCAAAAUGUGUGUGUAUCCUUUUCAGUCCUAUAAAUGACCCUGAUCAAGGUUUGGAGCUAUAAACUCUUAUAUGCAGUGCUAGUUAUAGUUGUUUGUGCUGCAAAAAUCAGAAUUUAUGCAUAAUGUAGACCUUUUGUUGACUCGCUAAUCCCAACUAAGUUUUCUCAAUAAUUGCUUAUGUCUGUGGUAUGCUCAUGUACCUGCUGGACAAAAUCAUAUCUGACAUUCACUGUUGAACCUCUCUGUUGCUUAUCUUAAAGAUGAUCUAGUGUAAUGUUAAUCUCUUUUUCUAUAAUGGCCUCAGCAUCUUUUCCUUGUAACUCAUGUCAUUGCUCUGUCAGCCGAGUCUUUGGAUAGUAUAUCGGUUUUGUUCCAUGUAUCCUGCUUGUUCGUUUAUAGUUCUCUAAGGUUCCUGAAUGGUUAUCGGUCUUAAUCUCCUGUUGCUGCCCAGCCGGACUGAAUUUCAUGUUGAUUGUUAAUCCGGUAAUCUUGUCGGUGGACGCAAGCUGUGUGUGAAACUUAAGCAAGAGUCUUAUUUCCUGCAGUCUGUGAUAGUCUCUGUUUCUCUCAUGUCAUGCCUCCGUUUUUAGAUCACCUCCUUGCUAUCUCUCAUUCUCAUAAUGCUUAUCCAUGCAUGACCUAACUAUGCUACAUGAGGAUUCUCGUCGUAUGCUCGGUAAUGGUGUUUUGAUUAACGAUUGAUGGUGAUUGUGUCCACAUAUAUUAUCUACAGUCAUUCACAGCAAAAGCUGAAGCCCUGGAGCUUUUUAGUGUGGAAAAAUAAUUGAUUAGUUCGAACAGUAGCACGGUUAAUCUCCAGUUGGAUAAUGACAGUAGAGUUGCUAUGAAACUUAGGUCUUCCAGAACCAUAUCGAGCAAGAAAUUAGCAAAUCAGCUGGCAAUAUUUAUACCAUUAAAAUCAGCUAUAUUGAUUAAUCUAGAAAUUAGCACCCACAUCGGCUGAUCCUUGUCCUUAGUUUAUCUAUUGUUCUCCUUUACUUCCUCUCCACUUAAAUCUCGGGACGAGAUUUCUUUAAGGGGGUAGGAUUGUAACGCCCCGAUAUUUGCCGGGGUCACCAAGGCCAAUUUGGCCACGACACCGCCGAACGACGCGCGCGUUCCGCGUGUCCCGCGUUGCCGCCGUGCUGCCCCUUCCUUCUGCUGCUGCUCGCCCACUGCCCUCUCCUUCCUCUCCCUUUCUUCUUCCUCGAGCAGAGCUCGAAUGAGCUCGUGCGGCUCCCGUCCACCGGCCAAAUCCCCGGCCUCCGCCCCACCAUCUUCAAAUCGCCGCCAACCGAAGCUCCCUCACCUCUCUAGCUUCCUCCUCAGCCCCUCUGACAUGAGCCCGACCGCCGCACGGCCGGGAAACAAGGAUUCUCCGGCCGCCAGCCAUCCAUGGCCAUCGAGCUCCACCUCGACGUGGAACUCCUAGCUCCGGCCACCAUUUUCUUCGUCUAGCGGCUCAAAUCGAAGCUAGGUGAGGCACUAAUGCUCAUGCUCUCCUCGUUCCAGCGCGUUCCACGAGUUUCCGCGCUCGUUUCCGAGCCAUGCCGCCGCUGGCAUGCUGCUGCUCGUCGCGAGCCGGGCGCACGCGCCCCUGCGCCGCACCGCCGAGCGCCCCUACUCCGUCCGACCCUAAUGAAUCCUCCCAUGGCUUCCCCGUCGUCGACCCGCCUCGCCGUCGGCGAGAGCGCCGCCGCCAUCACCGCCUGUGGUACUGCUCCCGUCGCCGGCCCUCUCCGGUCGCCCCCAACCCCAACCAAGCCCACCUACAGGUACGAUAGAUGAACCACGUGAAGGAUGUGAUAUUGGAACCAAACACGAAGACGAUGUUUGGUGGACAUAUCCAGAAGAGGCAAAGAACCAGGAGUACAUGCUUGGACCGGAAUACUCGCCAAGCGAGUGUCAUCUAACAAACACUGACCUAGUGUUAAUCCCAGG